GACGAACGCUGGCGGCGUGCUUAACACAUGCAAGUCGAACGGAAAGGCCCUGCUUAUGUGGGGGGCUCGAGUGGCGAACGGGUGAGUACCCCUUGAGUAACUUGCCUUUGACUUUGGGAUAACUUGAGGAAACUGGGGCUAAUACCGGAUAGGCGCUCCUGCUGCAUGGUGGGGGUUGGAAAGUCUCGGCGGUUGGGGAUGGACUCGCGGCUUAUCAGCUUGUUGGUGGGGUAGUGGCCUACCAAUGCUUAGACGGGUAGCCGGGCUGAGAGGGUGACCAGCCACAUUGGGACUGAGCUACGACCCAGACUCCUACUGGGGGCAGCAGUGGGAAAUAUUAUACAAUGGGCCGGAGCCUGAUGCAGCGACGCGGCGUGCUGGAUGACGGCAUUCGGGUUGUAAACAGCUUACACCUGUGACCAAGCGUGAGUGACGGUAACGGGUAAAUAAGCACCGGCUAACUACGUG
rnacentral:rRNA from 1 species